UAUGUACUCCCUCCGUUCCAGAAUAAGUGUCUCAACUUUGUACUAAAGUUAGUACAAAGUUGAGACACUUAUUUUGGAACGGAGGGAGUAUAUG
rnacentral:pre_miRNA from 1 species